GCUCAACCGAGGAAGUGCUUCGAAAACUGGUGAACUUGAGUGCAGAAGAGGAAAGUGGAACUCCAUGUGUAGCGGUGGAAUGCGUAGAUAUAUGGAAGAACACCAGUGGCGAAGGCGGCUUUCUGGUCUGUAACUGACGCUGAGAUUCGAAAGCAUGGGUAGCAAACAGGAUUAGAUACCCUGGUAGUCCAUGCCGUAAACGAUGAGUGCUAAGUGUUGGAGGGUUUCCGCCCUUCAGUGCUGCAGCUAACGCAUUAAGCACUCCGCCUGGGGAGUACGAUCGCAAGAUUGAAACUCAAAGGAAUUGACGGGGGCCCGCACAAGCGGUGGAGCAUGUGGUUUAAUUCGAAGCAACGCGAAGAACCUUACCAGGUCUUGACAUACCAUGAAAAGCUAAGAGAUUAGUCUUUCCCUUCGGGGACAUGGAUACAGGUGGUGCAUGGUUGUCGUCAGCUCGUGUCGUGAGAUGUUGGGUUAAGUCCCGCAACGAGCGCAACCCUUAUUAUCAGUUGCCAGCAUUCAGUUGGGCACUCUGGUGAGACUGCCGGUGACAAGCCGGUGGAAGGUGGGGACGACGUCAAAUCAUCAUGCCCCUUAUGACCUGGGCUACACACGUGCUACAAUGGUCGGUACAACG
rnacentral:rRNA from 1 species